rnacentral:rRNA from 1 species
AGUGAACGCUGGCGGUAUGCCUAACACAUGCAAGUCGAACGGCAGCACAGUAAGAGCUUGCUCUUACGGGUGGCGAGUGGCGGACGGGUGAGGAAUCCAUCGGAAUCUACUUUUUCGUGGGGGAUAACGUAGGGAAACUUACGCUAAUACCUCAUACGACCUACGGGUGAAAGCAGGGGAUCUUCGGACCUUGCGCGAUUGAAUGAGCCGAUGUCGGAUUAGCUGGUUGGCGGGGUAAAGGCCCACCAAGGCGACGAUCCGUAGCUGGUCUGAGGGGAUGAUCAGCGACACUGGAACUGAGACACGGUCCUGACUCCUACGGGAGGCAGCAGUGGGUAAUAUUGGACAAUGGGCGCAAGCCUGAUCCAGCCAUACCGCGUGGGUGAAGAAGGCCUUCGGGUUGUAAAGCCCUUUUGUUGGGAAAGAAAAGCAGCAGGUUAAUACCCCGCUGUUCUGACGGUACCCAAAGAAUAAGCACCGGCUAACUUCGUG